CUACAGGGGUAUCUAAUCCUGUUUGCUCCCCACGCUUUCGCACCUCAGCGUCAGUACCGGACCAGUGAGCCGCCUUCGCCACUGGUGUUCUUCCUAAUAUCUACGAAUUUCACCUCUACACUAGGAAUUCCACUCACCUCUUCCGGACUCGAGACUUGCAGUAUCAAAGGCAGUUCCGAGGUUGAGCCCCGGGAUUUCACCCCUGACUUACAAAUCCGCCUACGUGCGCUUUACGCCCAGUAAUUCCGAACAACGCUAGCCCCCUUCGUAUUACCGCGGCUGCUGGCAC
rnacentral:rRNA from 1 species